rnacentral:rRNA from 1 species
GGGUUGUGAGGUUAAGCGACUAAGCGUACACGGUGGAUGCCCUGGCAGUCAGAGGCGAUGAAGGACGUGCUAAUCUGCGAUAAGCGUCGGUAAGGUGAUAUGAACCGUUAUAACCGGCGAUUUCCGAAUGGGGAAACCCAGUGUGAUUCGUCACACUAUCAUUAACUGAAUCCAUAGGUUAAUGAGGCGAACCGGGGGAACUGAAACAUCUAAGUACCCCGAGGAAAAGAAAUCAACCGAGAUUCCCCCAGUAGCGGCGAGCGAACGGGGAGCAGCCCAGAGCCUGAAUCAGUGUGUGUGUUAGUGGAAGCGUCUGGAAAGGCGCGCGAUACAGGGUGACAGCCCCGUACACAAAAAUGCACAUACUGUGAGCUCGAUGAGUAGGGCGGGACACGUGGUAUCCUGUCUGAAUAUGGGGGGACCAUCCUCCAAGGCUAAAUACUCCUGACUGACCGAUAGUGAACCAGUACCGUGAGGGAAAGGCGAAAAGAACCCCGGCGAGGGGAGUGAAAAAGAACCUGAAACCGUGUACGUACAAGCAGUGGGAGCACGCUUAGGCGUGUGACUGCGUACCUUUUGUAUAAUGGGUCAGCGACUUAUAUUCUGUAGCAAGGUUAACCGAAUAGGGGAGCCGAAGGGAAACCGAGUCUUAACUGGGCGUUAAGUUGCAGGGUAUAGACCCGAAACCCGGUGAUCUAGCCAUGGGCAGGUUGAAGGUUGGGUAACACUAACUGGAGGACCGAACCGACUAAUGUUGAAAAAUUAGCGGAUGACUUGUGGCUGGGGGUGAAAGGCCAAUCAAACCGGGAGAUAGCUGGUUCUCCCCGAAAGCUAUUUAGGUAGCGCCUCGUGAAUUCAUCUCCGGGGGUAGAGCACUGUUUCGGCAAGGGGGUCAUCCCGACUUACCAACCCGAUGCAAACUGCGAAUACCGGAGAAUGUUAUCACGGGAGACACACGGCGGGUGCUAACGUCCGUCGUGAAGAGGGAAACAACCCAGACCGCCAGCUAAGGUCCCAAAGUCAUGGUUAAGUGGGAAACGAUGUGGGAAGGCCCAGACAGCCAGGAUGUUGGCUUAGAAGCAGCCAUCAUUUAAAGAAAGCGUAAUAGCUCACUGGUCGAGUCGGCCUGCGCGGAAGAUGUAACGGGGCUAAACCAUG